UAGCCAUGAUGUGGGCAAGCAAGUUGGAGUUCCUUGAAAUGUUCCCAACACUAAAAGAAAGUUUCAUUCUCCUUUUGGGAGAAGUUCAUGAUAUUACAUCUUGGAGUGU